GUGUCAGCAGCCGCGGUAAUACGGAGGGGGCUAGCGUUGUUCGGAAUUACUGGGCGUAAAGCGCGCGUAGGCGGACUGGAAAGUUAGGGGUGAAAUCCCGGGGCUCAACCUCGGAACUGCCUUUAAAACUCCCGGUCUGGUGUUCGAGAGAGGUGAGUGGAAUUCCGAGUGUAGAGGUGAAAUUCGUAGAUAUUCGGAGGAACACCAGUGGCGAAGGCGGCUCACUGGCUCGAUACUGACGCUGAGGUGCGAAAGUGUGGGGAGCAAACAGGAUUAGAUACCCUGGUAGUCCACACCGUAAACGAUGAAUGCCAGACGUCGGGUAGCAUGCUAUUCGGUGUCACACCUAACGGAUUAAGCAUUCCGCCUGGGGAGUACGGCCGCAAGGUUAAAACUCAAAGGAAUUGGCGGGG
rnacentral:rRNA from 1 species